rnacentral:rRNA from 1 species
CUCAGAUUGAACGCUGGCGGCAGGCCUAACACAUGCAAGUCGAGCGGAAACGACACUAACAAUCCUUCGGGUGCGUUAUUGGGCGUCGAGCGGCGGACGGGUGAGUAAUGCCUAGGAAAUUGCCUUGAUGUGGGGGAUAACCAUUGGAAACGAUGGCUAAUACCGCAUGAUGCCUACGGGCCAAAGAGGGGGACCUUCGGGCCUCUCGCGUCAAGAUAUGCCUAGGUGGGAUUAGCUAGUUGGUGAGGUAAUGGCUCACCAAGGCGACGAUCCCUAGCUGGUCUGAGAGGAUGAUCAGCCACACUGGAACUGAGACACGGUCCAGACUCCUACGGGAGGCAGCAGUGGGGAAUAUUGCACAAUGGGCGAAAGCCUGAUGCAGCCAUGCCGCGUGUAUGAAGAAGGUCCUACGGGUUGUAAGUACUUUCAGUUGUGAGAAGGGGUAACGUAUAGCGUUAUCUCUUGACGUUAGCAACGAGAGAAGCACC